UUCCAGACUCCUACGGGAGGCAGCAGUGGGGAAUAUUGCACAAUGGGGGAAACCCUGAUGCAGCAACGCCGCGUGAAGGAAGACGGUUUUCGGAUUGUAAACUUCUGUUCUUAGUGAAGAAGAAUGACGGUAGCUAAGGAGCAAGCCACGGCUAACUACGUGCCAGCAGCCGCGGUAAUACGUAGGGGGCAAGCGUUAUCCGGAUUUACUGGGUGUAAAGGGAGCGCAGGCGGCACGGCAAGCCUGAUGUGAAAGCCCGCGGCCCAACCGCGGGACUGCAUUGGGAACUACCGGGCUGGAGUGCCGGAGAGGUAGGCGGAAUUCCUAGUGUAGCGGUGAAAUGCGUAGAUAUUAGGAGGAACACCCGUGGCGAAGGCGGCCUACUGGACGGUGACUGACGCUGAGGCUCGAAAGCGUGGGGAGCAAACAGGAUUAGAUACCCUUGUA
rnacentral:rRNA from 1 species